AUUGAACGCUGGCGGCAGGCCUAACACAUGCAAGUCGAACGAGUGGCGGACGGGUGAGUAAUGUCUGGGAAACUGCCUGAUGGAGGGGGAUAACUACUGGAAAAGGUAGCUAAUACCGCAUACCAUCAGAUGUGCCCAGAUGGGCUUAGCUUGUUGGUGGGUGAACGGCGAACCAAGGCGACGAUCCCUAGCUGGUCUGAGAGGAUGACCAGCCUCACUGGAACUGAGACACGGUCCCGACUCCUACGGGAGGCAGCAGUGGGGAAUAUUGCAUAAUGUGCUCAAGCCUGAUGCAGCCAUGCCGCGUGUAGGAAGAAGGCCUUCGGGUUGUAAAGUACUUUCAUCGGGGAGGCGUUACCCGCAGAAGAAGCACCGGCUAACUCCGUGCCAGCAGCCGCGGUAAUUC
rnacentral:rRNA from 1 species